rnacentral:lncRNA from 1 species
UUUUUCUGUUGGAAAAGCACGUGUAAGUUGGGCCAGCCUAGUCACUAGUGGGAAAAAGGUCCAAAGUCCGUGUAAGUUGGGGACCAAAGCAUUACUGAAAAAAAGUAAAAGUAAAAAAAGAAAAAUAAAAAGAGAACAUGAUCACGACCGCGAAGCGUUGAAUUAAUUAUUAAUGGACUCAAAAAGACCGUGCCAGUCACUUAAGUAAAGGCGUCUUUGAGGGAGUAAUUACAAUCUUUUUGAACCGGUUGGGAGAGGAGGGAACUUGGGGUUCAAAUUUAAAUAGAGGUCCAAAACGUCUACGAGGGAGAUCGAAUUUUAUUUAUUUUACUUUAUUUAUUAAUAAUGCCUUCACUAUCCUAUAUUCCUAUGUGGAAUAAUUUGCGGACCUUGUUUGGUCAAAAAUGUACGACCAGGUCAAAACAAAACAUAUGUGAAAUCGCCAAACGCGGUGGAGCACGAUCGAAUUGCUAAUUGAGCACUAUGUCACGGACAAAAUAUUUUUCACUGACUUUUCUUGGACAGUGGUCCCUUUCUCCGAAGGAGCGUUCUAUCGGAGGUUUUGGCUUGGAUCUUCUAGAAGCUUCUAUGCGGAUCUCGAGACUGAUGGCGCGGGUACCGAAGGGUCAAGAGUUCCUUAGAGUUUCUAAGUGGGUAAUAAAUGUAAGACUCUUAGAGUUUCUAUGCUUAUUUAUUAGGACUCUUGGGAGACCGUGUGACCUCUCCUUAUGGCUUGUAGCUUUGUGCCACUUGGCAUCUUAUCAUUUGCUUUAUGGGCGGCAAGUGGCCUAUAUAAGGUUGUGGCCUCCACCCCCUCAUUAGGAAGAAUCCUCAUUUUGUACUCACUACUUCAAAGUAAUAGAAGAGCUUUCUUCAUCUCUCUCUUGUUAUUAGUCUUAGGGCGAGGAGGUCCUGAAUUAUCAAGUAGAGAGGAAGUCUAGGGUGAGUAGGUCCUGACUUGGCGAAGUAGAGAGGAAGGCUUGCCCAUCUUCGAGCAGAAAAGGGACGCCGCAUGGGCUAACGAGCGAUUUUGCCUUAGUCCGUGACAGUUGGUAUCAGAGCGAGUUGCUAUCUGGGCCGGUUCGAGGAGGAACCAUGUCGCCAUCAGAUGCUGUCGUUGUUGACGUUGAGCCUUCGUUGCAGGCCAAGCGGGAAAGGUGCAAGGAAUCGCAGGCACUCGCGUAGGAGUCCCUCAUCCUUGAAGUACCAUGCGGUGUGGCAGAAAGAUGUUAUGACGAGAAUGGAGGCACUACCUGAUCGGACCGAGGGCGAUCGAGGUGAACCAUCAAAGGCGAGUGAGGCCAACAGUGGAGGAGAGCACCACGAUCCAGGGGACGAAAAGGGAGUUCUGCUGCUUAGCAGGGUGCGCGUGCGUGUCGCGGAGGACAUGCACACUCCAGGCGUUCGACGGCUCGGCGGAGCGCGUGUGCGUGUCGCGGAGAACAUGCACACUCGGAGGCGUUCUGCAGCGUGGCGGAGUUCGCUUGUGUGUCGCGGAGGACAUACACACCCGGCGUGUUCUGCAGGUUGGCGGAGUGCGCGUGCGUGUCGCGGAGGACAUGCACACUCGGAGGCGUUCUGCAGGUUGGCGGAGUGCGUGUGUGUGUCGCGGAGGACAUGCACACUCGGAGGCGUUCUGCAGCAUUGGCGGAGUGCGCGUGUGUGUCGCGGAGAACAUGCACACUCGGAGGCGUUCUGCAGCGUGGCGGAGUGCGCGUGUGUGUCGCGGAGGACAUACACACCCGGCGUGUUCUGCAGCUUGGCGGAGUGCGCGUGCGUGUCGCGGAGGACAUGCACACCCAGAGCAGUUAUAAGGUUGGCUACUGGACUCGAGGAACUUUGGUUAAGUCAGGGCGAAGUAGGCGUGUAGGCCGAGUAGCUUUGAUGGCGAGGACCAAGUUUUGGUGGAGUGUCAGUGCAAUCUUGUAAUCCGAUGGAUGAUGGAUUCUGGUUCUGCAAAGGAGUUAGUGUGGUACGAGCAAGGCGCCAAGGCUGAAGAGCUCUAACUCAGGGUGGGACAGAAUAUAUGUGUGUGAGGCGUUUCGUCGCGGAGGACGAUGGGCUUUACAGAACCGUUGUUGAGUGGACGAACUCGAAGGCAGGUCAGUGUGGCAUGAGAUGUCAAGGCUGUGGGUGGCUCUGGUCUGGGAUGAGUGGUUUUGCUGACAACGAAGUUGAAGGAUGUGUUGGAUCAUCGACGAGGGCGUCGAUGGUUCAAGUAGGGGAGGAUGUCACGGGUCGAUCGUUGGGGCUCGACCGUGACGCUCUUGGGGGCCACAUUUGGUAGUCAUUGAGUUGACGAAGCUAUGGAGUUGCGGAGUUGAAGCGUUCCGUCAGGUUGGAGCGCUGUCAAGUCUACGGAGGCAAUUCUCUAGCAAUAGCCCAUGCCUUGGCAAGGAUUUUGGUACCGCAUGCGGGGUUUCAAAACGUACCCCUCGGUGGGCACCUUUGUACCCUCGGGGUGCCAAAGGGCUGGAUGUCUUGCAUGGUAUAUAGGAGGAGGGGUGGACACUGCGUAGAGUGGCCCCGACUCCCCCGCGACUCAUAGGACAUGGGUCGUCCCUUGGACUGUCACGGACUAAGGCAAAAUCACUCGUUAGCCCGUGCAGCGCCCCCUUCCUGCUCGAAGAUGGGCAAGCCUUCCUCUCUACUUUGCUAAGUCAUGACCUACUCGCCCUAGACUUCAUUUCUACUUGAUAAGUCAGGACCUCCUCGCCCUAAGACUAAUAACAAGAGAGAGAUGAAGAAAAGCUCUUUUAUUACUUUGAAGUAGUGAGUACAAAAUGAGGAUUCUUCCUAAUGAGGGGGUGGAGGUCACAACCUUAUAUAGGCCACUCGCCGCCCAUAAAACAAAUGAUAAGAUGCCAAGUGGCACAAAGCUACAAGCCAAAAGGGGAGGUUACACGGUCUCCCAGGGGUCCUAAUAAAUAAGCAUAGAAACUCUAAGAGUCUUACAUUUAUUACCCACCUAGAAACUCUAAGGGACUUUUGACCCUUCGGUACCCGCACCAUCAGUAUUGAGAUCCGUGUAGAAGCUUCUAGAAGAUCCAAGCCAAAACCUCCGACAAAACGCUCCUUCGGAGAAAGGGACCACUGUCCAAGAGAAGUCAGCGGAAAAUAUUUUGUCCGUGACAACUAGCUACCAUCCCUAUUCCGUGCUCUUUUUAAUAUAUAAUAGGGAAAACUUUAAAAACUCUCCAUGUGAUUUCGUAUUUUUUGACUUUAGUAUCCUGUGGUUUAAAGUGUAUCAAGUUAGCUAGUAUCCUGUGAUUUUGCACUUUCUCAUUUUAGUAUUCUGUGAUUUAAAGUGUAUCAAGUUAAUACUCUGUGGUUUCAUUUUUAUAUCAAAUUAGUACCAUGUGGUUUUAUUUUUCUCUUUUUAUUAUCCAUUUCGGGGUAUUUUUUUCGUUAAAUCAGUGACGAAGUUAAAACUAAAGGGUACUAAAAUGAAAAUUCGAUAAACCUAGGUAGGAUAUCUGAAAUAUUUGGUAUAUAAUUUAACGAAAUAUUAAGCCACAGGGUACUAAAGUGAGAAAGUGCGAAACCACAGGGUACUAACAUGAUACACUUUAAGCCAUAGGGUAUUAAAGUGAGAAAGUGCGAAACCACAUGGUACUAACAUGAUACACUUUAAAUUACAGAAUACUAAAGUGAGAAAUGCGAAAUUACAGGGGCAUUUGAAUUUUUU